GAAGGCCGGGCUUGACGGGCGUCCAGUGGGCUCCUGGGCAGGCCCCGUGGGUGGCUCUGUUUCCCUGUCCUGUGGCUGGACAGAGGCCCGGCUCCUGCCCUUUGGCUGCUGCAGGAGGGAGGGACGGGCUGGCACUUCUCCCUGGCAGCUGCCAAGGUUCUUCUUUGCCGCGGCUGCUGAGUGGCAACAUGGCCGGUCUCUUGGCCUGGGGGCGCCAAGGCUUUUUGUGGGCCUCACUCCUGGGCGUCCCACGCAGGGCACCGGCUCUGCGCUCCUGCUGCAGCCAGGCUCACCUGCCCCCCCCCCCCCCCGGGGCAUCGGCCGCAGCACCCCCGGGGGCUCUUUCCUGCACGGCCCGCCGACCAGGAGGCUGCCCUGCCCUCGCCGGGCGUCAGGCUCUGCCUUCAGCCUGCCCCCCAGUGCCAAGGAGUAGCCAGCCCAGUGGGCACCUGCUCCAUGUUCAAGCUGCCCCUGUGGGAUUCAGCCAAAGGGCUGGAUGUGGCCUUUGUGGGCGUCCCUCUGGACAUCGGCACCACCCACCGCCCCGGGGCCAGGUGCGACUAUCAAGUCGAAAUUGCCAUUUUAUUUUUUGGGGCGGGGUGCAAAGCUGCAAUGAACUGGGCCAGAACUCGCUGCUGAAUUAAUAUUCUUCCAGUGCUUCGGGGCCAAAUAGAGGUAGCCAAGAGGUGGGCCGGGUGUUGUGCCUGUUUCCCGGCGGCUUCCCCAGUGCAACCUUCCUCCCGUGGAGCUUUGCCCAACCUUCCACCAGAAGCGUGGCCUCGUCCCCCUACGGAGGGAAGCUUCUCCCCAGCCGG